rnacentral:rRNA from 1 species
AGGGGGGCCGAAAGCCUGGACGCAGCAACGCCGCGUGAGGGACGAAGGCUUUCUGAGUUGUAAACCUCUUUCGACAGGAACGAUUGUGACGGUACCUGUAGAAGAAGCACCGGCCAACUAUGUGCCAGCAGCCGCGGUGAUACAUAGGGUGCAAGCGUUAUUCGGAUUUAUUGGGCGUAAAGAGCUCGUAGGCGGUUCAACAAGUCGGGUGUUAAACCCCCAGGCUCAACCUGGGGCCGCCACCCGAAACUGUUGUGACUAGAGUUUGGUAGGGGAUCACGGAAUUCCUGGUGUAGCGGUGGAAUGCGCAGAUAUCAGGAGGAACACCAGUAGCGAAGGCGGUGAUCUGGGCCAAUACUGACGCUGAGGAGCGAAAGCGUGGGGAGCGAACAGGAUUAGAUACCCUGGUAGUCCACGCCGUAAACGGUGGGCACUAGGUGUGGGGACUUUUCAACGGUUUCCGCGCCGCAGCUAACGCAUUAAGUGCCCCGCCUGGGGAGUACGGUCGCAA